rnacentral:rRNA from 1 species
UACGAAGGUGGCGAGCGUUGUUCGGAAUUACUGGGCGUAAAGGGCGCGCAGGCGGCUCAGACAGUCAGAUGUGAAAGCCCCGGGCUUAACCUGGGAACUGCAUUUGAUACUACUGAGCUUGAGUACGGGAGAGGAUAGUGGAAUUCCCAGUGUAGAGGUGAAAUUCGUAGAUAUUGGGAAGAACACCGGUGGCGAAGGCGGCUAUCUGGACCGUAACUGACGCUGAGGCGCGAAAGCGUGGGGAGCAAACAGG